rnacentral:rRNA from 1 species
UUAAAUUGAAGAGUUUGAUCAUGGCUCAGAUUGAACGCUGGCGGCAGGCCUAACACAUGCAAGUCGAACGGUAACAGAAAGCAGCUUGCUGCUUUGCUGACGAGUGGCGGACGGGUGAGUAAUGUCUGGGAAACUGCCUGAUGGAGGG